CAAUACGGAGACUACUAUAUGUAGAGGCUAGUUAUCAUUCCUGGAUCACCAUUAAAGAAGAAAAGGCGGAAGAAUCAUUCAUUCGACCAUGGCCAAGAUCAGUAUGUUCCUUUGCUUCUUCUUAUUUGUCUUGAUUGCCAUGCCAAUCUCUUCUUCCGGAAGCUGGAUGAUGCUCAAGAAGGAUCCGGAAGUAGAAGAGAGAUGCCCAAAAGUAGCUCCGUCAUGCGCAGCCGUUUUGUGUGCAGCACGAACAGAUCCAUGCCCACUAGUUCUAUGCGCAGAAGGGUUUGUUCUUUACCAGCCCUGUUGUGGUUGCGAAACAUGCUGUCCUAAACAACCUAAACCUUAUUAUUAAUGAACCUACUGAUCGACUACUGUAUUGCGUUGAUGGUUCUUGAUUUAUCACCUAUCUAUCUAUGAUUGUAUUUUCUCAUUUUGAUGUUUGGUUUGGCAAUCGUAAUGUAUCAGUGUGAUGAAAUAAAAUGUAUGCGGUCAUACAUACGUACUUAUGAUUUUCCUUAACUAAUUAUGUUAAUGAAACUAUUCUGCUUUUGUUCUUAA